rnacentral:rRNA from 1 species
GAUGAACGCUGGCGGCGUGCCUAAUACAUGCAGGUCGAGCGAACGGACGAGAAGCUUGCUUUUCUGAUGUUAGAGGCGGACGGGUGAGUAACACGUGGAUAACCUACCUAUAAGACUGGGAUAACUUCGGGAAACCGGAGCUAAUACCGGAUAAUAUUUUGAACCGCAUGGUUCAAAAGUGAAAGACGGUCUUGCUGUCACUUAUAGAUGGAUCCGCGCUGCAUUAGCUAGUUGGUAAGGUAACGGCUUACCAAGGCAACGAUGCAUAGCCGACCUGAGAGGGUGAUCGGCCACACUGGAACUGAGACACGGUCCAGACUCCUACGGGAGGCAGCAGUAGGGAAUCUUCCGCAAUGGGCGAAAGCCUGACGGAGCAACGCCGCGUGAGUGAUGAAGGUCUUCGGAUCGUAAAACUCUGUUAUUAGGGAAGAACAUAUGUGUAAGUAACUGUGCACAUCUUGACGGUACCUAAUCAGAAAGCCACGGCUAACUACGUG